CAAAUAAAGAGUUUAAUGAAACUUUAGUCAAUGGAACGAAAGGCUGACACACUUUCAUAUAACUACAGUGAAAUCUUAAUUGCCUGGAAACUCUGGGAAAUGAGCUGUUAAGGAAAGGAAUGUUUUUAAUGUAAAGCUUUGCUCUUUUAAGCAUCAAAACUUGAUUUCAGCCACACUGUAACUUGAAUGAUCUCACUUGCUCAGUUUGAAAAUCUUCAAUGCUGCAGAACGGGCACCUGGGGGCUCUCCACCCUCUAGUAGGUAUAUGCUUGGAGGUUUUCAUAAUAAAACCUUUACAAAUUCGUCAACGGCCCCCAUGCUUCCCUCCCUGCAUUCAAGGGCCCUGCCACCACUCCUGUCUGCCUCACUCCAGCUGCCAGCCUUUGUGCCAGGUCCUGCCUCUGGGAUCUUUUCUUCACAGGGCAGUCAGUGACUGGGUGGGUCUGGAGUGUGUCUUGGGCAAAUUCACUCCCUUAUGUUGCAGUUUCCACAACUAGGAAAGGGGUGACAGCAGUAAUGGCCUAAGAUUGCUGUGAGGAUCGAAUGAGUCAAUACACUUAAUGUGCUCAGAAUGGUGUGAGGACACAGCACUCAGUAUGGUGGCUGUCAGCGAUAUUCUUCAAGGUACAACGCAAACACUGCCUCUUCCAGGAUGGCCUCUCAGACUUCCCAGUCCCCACCAAAUCUUGAAUGAGCUCUUCCAUUGCUACCAACAUCAGACACAAUGUUUGCACCACUGUGUGGCACUAAUUUGAGAAGAUACAUGUACCAGUCUUUUUACUACAGCAUUCUUUACAACUGUCAAGAUAUGGAAGGAACCUAAGUGUACACUGACAGAUGAAUGGAUAAAGAAGAUGCAGUACAUAUACACAAUGGAAUAUAACCCGGCCAUAAAAAAGAAUGAAAUCUUAUCAUUUGUGACCACAUGGAUAGACCUAGAGAGCAUUAUGCUCAGUGAAGUGAGUCAGGCGAGGAAGACGAGUACCAUAAGAUCUCUCUCAUUAUGUGGGAUCUAAAAAAAAUAAAUAAAUGAGCAAAACAGAGCAGAAACAGACUCACAGACACAGAGAACAAUCUGAGUUGCCAGAGGGAAUAAGGGUGGGAGGGGAUGGGUGAAACAGGAAAAAACUACAUAGUAUUUUACUGUAGAAAUGGUCUAACUUGGAAGGAAUGGAAGAGUUAGUAACUUCCGAGGAAAACAAUGAAAUUCUGCUGAUGACAAAUCUUCAGAUCUUGCUGAAAACGAGAAGAACACUCUGACCUCUUGCUGGGAACCAUAAUCCGUUAGUGAAGGCCUAUUAGAGCCAAGACCACUUCUAGAAAACAUGCAAAACGAUUCUGAUAAAAUACACAGAAGGAAAAAGAAUGCUAUCUAUCCAUAGAAAAAUACUUGUCAAACCAAGAAUACAUAGAAGUGAAAUAAAGAAGUAAAACUUAAUGUAAAACACCCCUGUAUAUAUUUGAACAAACUUUCUCCAUUGCACAACUUACAAAAUAAACAAGCUAUAAAAAUCUUUCUGGUUUACCAUCACUUCUUCCUGGCCAAAAACUCAAGUCUCAAUUACUUCCAAGGGAGAUGGUGAGCCUACAAAUAUCUACACAUUCAGUCAUUUCAGUAAAGAAAUACAAACCAAAAUAAUUUUAUGGAACAUUGAACAGUGAUUCUAGGACAUGACAACUAAGUGUAAAGCUGAUGCAGCCCAGACCUGGCGCCAGGGAAAAACCGAAGCCACGGAGAACAUCACUGUCAACUGACAAAGCUGGUAAAGACAAGAGAUUAGCUAAAACAUAUUCCAUCAAUUUAAAAUUUAAAUUUAUGAACUAUGAUCAUGUAAAAAGCUAUCCCUAUUAGAAAACUGUCUCUGCAGUAUUACGGGUAAAGGGCCUUGCUUGACACAGGCAGCUUAUUCUCAUUGGUUCAGAAAAAAAUCACACAUAUACACACACACACACACCGUGGGGGAGAGGAACACAGUGAAUCUCAUAAAGCCCAUGAGUUAAAAUGUUAACUAACAAAAGGGAACUUAGUGUAAGUGUCAGACUGGUGGUCUUUGGACCAUUCUAUUCAUGCAAUUGUUCUGUUAAUGGGGAAGGGUUUCUAAACAGAGUUUUCAACACUGUUUCUUUUUUAAAGUCACUCUAGGCAUGAAAGGGGGCAGGAGGGCAGAGUGGUUGGGCACUCAGGCUUAGGGCCAGGCAGGUGAGAUUCAAGACUAGCUCCAGCAGGGCCCACCACUGUGGGUCUCCACCUCUCUCCAGGGGAGCAGCGUGCAGGCAGUAGCUGGAAGGGCACAGCAGGCUCAAGUUUGUGAAAGCACGUAAGACUCGUCAGUCAGCCGCUACCUGCCUGUCUGCUGCACACACACGCACGGGCAAUGCACCAGAUUAGCUGGGCAACCACUCCCCUGAGGGUGCCAGGACCAGCUAUCACCAACAUACCGGGAGGAAGAAGGUGUGUUCAAAGCCACUGUGCUCAAGGGAAAGGGUGGUACCCCAAUAUUCUAAACCUUGUUUAUAUCAGCAUCUGGAAAUGUUUCUCCAAACUCUGCCUGUGUGUGUGUGUGUGUGUGUGUAUAUGUAUGCGUGUAUGUAAGCACAAGUGUGUCUGGGGGGGUAGAUUUCAAUUUUGGGGUAAAAGUAUCACAUGCUCAUGACACAGAAUGUAUAGCCUUAUUGCUCAGUGCAUUUUGGGCUCCACAAAUAAAUCCUGUCGGGGUCGGGCCUCUGAGCACACACCCCCAUCGUGCAUUGUGGAGGGGCAGGCACAUGUCCCUGGGCUCUGCUGCAAAUGCAGACUCUUGCCCCACCCUGGGUUCCCGAUUCAGUUAGAACAGUAUGUGAACAACACUUUCGGUCCCGGUAUUCAUGAGGAGUGUCCUCGUUUCUGUGAUCUGCUUGGUGUUCUCAUUGACAGAGAAACCGAAACUGGGCACAUUUCAGAAAUCAGCCUUACAUCACAACCUACCUACAGCUCAGAGAUGCGUUAUUUCCAUGCAGAAAUCCAUUUCUUUCUGUGGCUCCUGUAAACCAUGUUCUGUGUUAGUGGCAUGUGGAGAGCCUCUGCCAGGAGACAGAUUCUGCCCACCAAGACCUCUCCAAAUGAUAGCAACAUCUACCUCAUCCCAAAAUCACUGUAUGGGGAGGGCAGUGACCAUGGGGAGCUGCCGCUGUUAUUGGCAAACAAAGUUCGUCUUACCUCACCAAAAGCCCCUCUUCCGAUCACUUUAAUUAUUUCGAAGUCUUCCCGACGAAGCUGCAUU